rnacentral:rRNA from 1 species
GCUGCAUGGCUGUCGUCAGCUCGUGUCGUGAGAUGUUGGGUUAAGUCCCGUAACCGAGCGCAACCCUUGUCCUUAGUUACCAGCACGUUAUGUGGGCACUCUAAGGAGACUGCCGGUGACAAACCGGAGGAAGGUGGGGAUGACGUCAAAUCAUCAUGCCCCUUAUGACCUGGGCUACAAACGUGAUACAAUGGCUGGAACAAAGGGAUGCGAAGCAGUGAUGUGGAGCGAAACCCAUAAAAACAGUCUCAGUUCGGAUUGAAGUCUGCAACUCGACUUCAUGAAGUCGGAAUCGCUAGUAAUCGCGGAUCAGAACGCCGCGGUGAAUACGUUCUCGGGGUUU